GGGGCGGCCACCGCGGGGAAGGCGGAGAUGAGCCCCGAUGCCUGCUGGGCAGGGGUGCCUGGUGGGGUGCAACAGAGAGAAGGAAGGAAAGCCCUCGGCCCUUCAGGGCUCGCUCACGGUCAGUCAAAGAGAGGCAGAGGUCAUCUACUCCACACCCGUGUCUCAGGCAGUAGCAUCCCAAGCAGGUAUAACGGCCGGGGUGAGGAAUGUGGCACACUUUCACCCAUGAUGAGGCGCAAGAGAGUUACAGAGGACACCCACAUCCCUGCAGAUGCCACAUGCAAAGCCAGCCAUCUGGAUGACAAGAGCCUGAAACGGAGAGCUUCCUCUCUGUUCCUGAAAAUGGGAGUGUCUCAUCAGACUCCGUGAGACCACUUGUCCUCACUUCUAAAUCCCCAUUUCUCCAGGACCCAAGUAGGUGACAGACAUUUGUGGCUCUGUUCACAGCACCUCUGAAAGGAACUUGGUAGCUCAAGUGAAAUAGCAGAUUUGCAAAAAAUGGAAAAUGAAAAUGUUGAG